AUUGAACGCUGGCGGCAUGCUUUACACAUGCGAGUCGAACGGCAGCGAGGAGAAGCUUGCUUCUCUGUCGGCGAGUGGCGAACGGGUGAGUAUAGCAUCGGAACGUGCCAAGUAGUGGGGGAUAACCAAACGAAAGUUUGGCUAAUACCGCGUAAGCUCUAAGGAGGAAAGUAGGGGACCUAAAUAAGGCCUUACGCUAUUUGAUCGGCCGAUGUCGGAUUAGCUAGUUGGUGGGGUAAUGGCUCACCAAGGCAAUGAUCCGUAGCGGGUCUGAGAGGACGAUCCGCCACACUGGGACUGAGACACGGCCCAGACUCCUACGGGAGGCAGCAGUGGGGAAUUUUGGACAAUGGGGGAAACCCUGAUCCAGCCAUGCCGCGUGUAUGAAGAAGGCCUUAGGGUUGUAAAGUACUUUUGUUAGGGAAGAAAAGCUAGUUUUUAAUAAAAAUUAGUGAUGACGGUACCUAAAGAAUAAGCACCGGCUAACUACGUG
rnacentral:rRNA from 1 species